ACGAAGCUAGGUCCCUACAAAAGAGGAAUGGGGUGGCUAUACUGAUACGUAACACGUGCCCCAUUCACGUUUCCAAGGUACACGCAGACCCGGAGGGGAGGUACAUUAUUCUGACGGGCUCCAUACAUUCGCACACGAUACACAUGAUAAACAUUUAUGCCCCAAACACCCCAGACAUUGCGUUCUGGAAGGAAUUACAAACUAAACUACAUGCCCUACCGCAGGGCAUAAUACUCAUGGGGGUGACUUUAAUGCUGCACCGUGUCCAGCCGCCGACAGGAGCUCCAGAGCGGGUCAGCUGAGAUCCCAUGGCAGAGGACGACAAGACAGGGCUCUAUAUGAAUUUAUUAAAUCAACUGGCCUCCUGGACGUCUGGAGGGCGCAGCACCCUGACGCAGUAGACUAUACAUUCUAUUCGGCCCCGCAUGGAACAUACUCAAGAAUCGAUUUCUUCUUGGUAAACGAUGCGGGCAUGGCCAGAGUGACG